rnacentral:rRNA from 1 species
CCUACGGGGGGCAGCAGUAGGGAAUAUUGCUCAAUGGGGGAAACCCUGAAGCAGCAACGCCGCGUGGGGGAUGAAGGUUUUCGGAUUGUAAACCCCUUUUGUUAGAGAAGAUAAUGACGGUAUCUAACGAAUAAGCACCGGCUAACUCCGUGCCAGCAGCCGCGGUAAUACGGAGGGUGCAAGCGUUACUCGGAAUCACUGGGCGUAAAGGGCGCGUAGGCGGGUUAGCAAGUCAGAUGUGAAAUCCUAUGGCUUAACCAUAGAACUGCAUUUGAAACUGUUAUUCUAGAGUAUGGGAGAGGUAGGUGGAAUUCUUGGUGUAGGGGUAAAAUCCGUAGAGAUCAAGAGGAAUACUCAUUGCGAAGGCGACCUGCUAGACCAUAACUGACGCUGAUGCGCGAAAGCGUGGGGAGCAAACAGGAUUAGAUACCCGAGUAGUC